rnacentral:lncRNA from 1 species
UGCCUAUGGAAACAGAAUCUAUUUUUCACACACACAGCUCCACGUCUGUUUAGCUUUGAAUGCUUCUCCUCCAAUCCUCCCACCUGGCAUUAACCUUGGCCUCCUCCCUGCUUCUUCUGCAUUGUGCUGCUAUUCUUAUUAUAACAUACAUCACUCUCUAACUUGUGAAGAGCUAUUUUUGUAGCUGUUUGUCAUCCUUGCCUCCUUGCCUCUCAUCAGGAAGAUCACGAGUCCUUGAGGGCAGGGGCCAUGACUUGCUCAUCUUUUGUCCCUCAUGAUCAAAGACCCUUUUCUAAUAUAGACACAAAGACAGAAGUACAGUAGAGCAUGCUCAAUAAAUUUAAUUGAAUAUGUUCUUCCUAUUUUACUGAACUGCUGUUACUAAAAGCUUCUUUGUGAGAAAAAUUGUUUCCCUUCUGUAUGAUAGCAUUUAAACUUAAGGAGCCAUAUAUGAUACCUAGAUGUGGCUACUACAGACUCUGUAGCUCAAGAAGACUCCAGAAACAAAGUGAGGUUCAAGGUGGAGCACCUUGAGUAAAAGGUGUAGCCUAUAUCUCUGAGAGACCAGGUGGGAUACAGCCGGAAGCCACGGACAUAUACCUUCUGUUUCCUGUGGUGGAGUGCCAUUCCUGAGGCCACUAUGGCUAAUUCUCUUCGAUUCCAG